rnacentral:rRNA from 1 species
UACGUAGGUGGCAAGCGUUAUCCGGAUUUACUGGGUGUAAAGGGAGCGUAGACGGCUGUGCAAGUCUGAAGUGAAAGGCCGGGGCCCAACCCCGGGAGUGCUUUGGAAACUGUGCGGCUAGAGUGUCGGAGAGGCAAGUGGAAUUCCCAGUGUAGCGGUGAAAUGCGUAGAUAUUGGGAGGAACACCAGUGGCGAAGGCGUCUUGCUGGACGAUGACUGACGUUGAGGCUCGAAAGCGUGGGGAGCAAACAGG